UAAUUUUUCAGUGUAGGUGUUACUGCACCUUGUGAAAACCAAACACUGUAAUUUCCCAGCCCGGAUGACUUUUCUUCUCUCAACUGCUUCAGACAGCUUGGCUGCAGAUUUGCUGUCUUCUGUGCCUCGAGUCAGCUGCACCUCUUACAGCCAUGUGUGGUCUGACAGGUGCUUCCAGGGAAACCCAGCAGUGCAGGAAUAAGAACCCAAGGGGGACUGGAAACUCCAGGGAUGACUGCAAAAGGGGAAAGUUUUUGCUACAAAGGAAGAAAUUGCCAUGGCUUUGGUCUCCAGUAGCUUUGAAAAAAAACUGA
rnacentral:lncRNA from 1 species